UGGGGAAUUUUGGACAAUGGGCGAAAGCCUGAUCCAGCAAUGCCGCGUGUGUGAAGAAGGCCUUCGGGUUGUAAGCACUUUUGUCCGGAAAGAAAUCCUUGGCUCUAAUACAGUCGGGGGAUGACGGUACCGGAAGAAUAAGCACCGGCUAACUACGUGCCAGCAGCCGCGGUAAUACGUAGGGUGCAAGCGUUAAUCGGAAUUACUGGGCGUAAAGCGUGCGCAGGCGGUUUGCUAAGACCGAUGUGAAAUCCCCGGGCUCAACCUGGGAACUGCAUUGGUGACUGGCAGGCUAGAGUAUGGCAGAGGGGGUAGAAUUCCACGUGUAGCAGUGAAAUGCGUAGAGAUGUGGAGGAAUACCGAUGGCGAAGGCAGCCCCCUGGGCAAUACUGACGCUCAUGCACGAAAGCGUGGGGAGCAAACAGGAUUAGAUACCCUGGUAGUCCACGCCCUAAACGAUGUCAACUAGUUGUUGGGGAUUCAUUUCC
rnacentral:rRNA from 1 species